AGAAGCACCAUGGAAAGGCAGAGGGUGAAGGGAUACGCAGGUGGGGGUACAAUUACUGUUCAAGAUCCUCCCCCACAAAAUCAAUGAUUUAAAUGAUAAAAUGGAAGAGACGAAAAAGAGUUAAGGAAAAAAAAGGAGUGAGAUAACUUCAGUACUUUAGUGAGAAUGAAGUUAUUCACAGGUAAAUAGGUUCUUAGCUUUUCUCCCCAUUGACAUAUGCCAAACAUAAUAGUGACAAACAAAUAAAGGACAAAGGCAUUCCAUGCAAAAGCCUGCAUCAUUUCCUACAAUUCCCUUAGAGCUACAAUUAAUUAACAGUGCAAGGAAAAAUAAACCAGAAAGGCAGAUGUGGACUUAACAGAAGAGAGAAGCCCUAAUGAAGUCCUCUGGUACAACAGUCACCAGCUCAAUCAGACGUGAGAUGCCACCUAAAGUUUUAGAACUGAGUGGUAUGGAGAUUGUGCCUGACUCAUAAUAUUUUAUUUAAGGAAAACAAAAAAGUCAAUAUCACAGAGAAAACAUUAUCAAUAAAACCAGCCAAAGGAUAACAUUCUUCAAUUCAAACAAAAAUCAA